rnacentral:rRNA from 1 species
AUUGAACGCUGGCGGCAGGCCUAACACAUGCAAGUCGAACGAGUGGCGGACGGGUGAGUAAUGUCUGGGAAACUGCCUGAUGGAGGGGGAUAACUACUGGAAACGGUAGCUAAUACCGCAUACCAUCGGAUGUGCCCAGAUGGGAUUAGCUAGUGGGUGGGGUAAAGGCUCACCAAAGCGACGAUCCCUAGCUGGUCUGAGAGGAUGACCAGCCACGCAGGAACUGAGACACGGUCCAGACUCCUACGGGAUGCAGCAGUUGGUAAUAUUGCACAAUGAGCGCAAGCCUGAUGCAGCCAUGACGCGUGUAUGAAGAAGGCCUUCGGGUUGUAAAGUACUUUCAGCGGGGAGGCGUUACCCGCAGAAGAAGCACCGGCUAACUCCGUGCCAGCAGCCGCGGUAAUAC